rnacentral:rRNA from 1 species
AAUGAACGCUGGCGGCAUGCCUAACACAUGCAAGUCGAACGAAGGCUUCGGCCUUAGUGGCGCACGGGUGCGUAACGCGUGGGAAUCUGCCCUCAGGUUCGGAAUAACAGCGAGAAAUUGCUGCUACUACCGGAUGAUGUCGCGAGAUCAAAGAUUUAUCGCCUGAGGAUGAGCCCGCGUAGGAUUAGCUAGUUGGUGUGGUAAAGGCGCACCAAGGCGACGAUCCUUAGCUGGUCUGAGAGGAUGAUCAGCCACACUGGGACUGAGACACGGCCCAGACUCCUACGGGAGGCAGCAGUGGGGAAUAUUGGACAAUGGGCGAAAGCCUGAUCCAGCAAUGCCGCGUGAGUGAUGAAAGCCUUAGGGUUGUAAAGCUCUUUUACCCGGGAUGAUAAUGACAGUACCGGGAGAAUGAGCUCCGGCUAACUCCGUGCCAGCAGCCGCAGUAA